UUUCCUACGGGGGGCAGCAGUGGGGGAUAUUGCACAAUGGGGGAAACCCUGAUGCAGCAACGCCGCGUGAGUGAAGAAGGUCUUCGGAUUGUAAAGCUCUGUUCUUGGUGAAGAUAAUGACGGUAGCCAAGGAGAAAGCUCCGGCUAACUACGUGCCAGCAGCCGCGGUAAUACGUAGGGAGCGAGCGUUGUCCGGAUUUACUGGGUGUAAAGGGUGCGCAGGCGGCUCUGCAAGUCAGGCGUGAAAGCUAGGGGCUCAACCCCUAAACUGCUUUUGGAACUGCGUGUCUUGAGUGAUGGAGAGG
rnacentral:rRNA from 1 species